CUCCCUCCAGCCGGCAGUUCUAGGGCUGCGGCUGCUUUCGCUUCCUUCUUAAUUUUUCUGACAAGAACAGAUGCCACCGCAGCUGACAACCAGCCGGCCGGUGUGAACGGGAAGGCAGGUCCGGCCGCUCGUUUGUCUGGCCUAGUGCACAGACUCUCCAGAGCUAUGCCGGCUACAGGAGCACAAGGAGGGAGCAGUCACUCUCACUGUCCUCAAGGCUGAUGGCCCCUCAGAGCCUGGCAUGAAGAGGGCUUUGACUUUGACGGAGCAGGACUCCGAAGCCCCGGCUGCCUGGGUGCCUUCCACCAAGUGAACUGCACAAGGUCCUGAGCUCCACAUCUGUAAACCGGGGCGCAGACAGCACCUGCUCCGUUGGGGGCUGGGAGGACUGAGCUUACACGGGGCUCUUGUCAUCCACGGCAGCUCUUUGCACGCACGUGCGGAUGCGUUCCACGCUGCACUCACGCCCCUUCUGCCUCAGCCCCCGCAGGAGGGGUGUGGACACUCUGAGACCCUGGUCUCAGAGGAGGGAAGAGCUCGGCUUGGGUGAAACGGCUCCCGGCCCCGAACCAGGCUGAUGCUUCCCCCUGGUUAACAACUGCGGUCCAGGCAGCGGCCCCAGCCCCUGCUAAUUACCAUGAUUAGCACUGAGCAAGCUGCUGCAUUUUAUGACUCUCCAAACCAAAAAAAAAUAAUUAAAGCAAUUACUGUCAUUAA